rnacentral:rRNA from 1 species
UGGGGGAAUAUUGCACAAUGGGCGCAAGCCUGAUGCGGCAACGCCGCGUGAGGGAAGACGGUCUUCGGAUUGUAAACCUUUGUCUUUGGUGAAGAAGAAAUGACGGUAGCCAAGGAGGAAGCCACGGCUAACUACGUGCCAGCAGCCGCGGUAAUACGUAGGUGGCAAGCGUUGUCCGGAAUUACUGGGUGUAAAGGGAGCGCAGGCGGAAGGACAAGUUGGAAGUGAAACCCACGGGCUCAACCCGUGAACUGCUUUCAAAACUGUUUUCUUGAGUGGUGUAGAGGUAGGCGGAAUUCCCGGUGUAGCGGUGGAAUGCGUAGAUAUCGGGAGGAACACCAGUGGCGAAGGCGGCCUACUGGGCACUAACUGACGCUGAGGCUCGAAAGCAUGGGUAGCAAACAGGAUUAGAUACCCUGGUAGU